GGCUAGGUAACAUAAUGGAAAUGAAUCGGACUGCAAAUCCUGGAAUGACGGUUCGACCCCGUCCUUGGCCU
rnacentral:tRNA from 1 species